CUGUCUCAAGCCUCCAAUCAACAGAUCAGACAGCUUGUACUCACAGGCCAAGGACACGUGGAAAGAGACUCAAUUUUCUAGAUGGGUGGUAACAGGCAUGAUCUUCUGUCCUCUGGGUCCCCACAAGCCUGGAUGAACUCAAGAUCUGACUCAGUGGCACAGUGAGGAGACCUUUGAGGCCUCAGUGACCAUCCUUGGACUUCACCUCUCACGGCUUUCAGGCAGAGAGGCCCUCCCAUGCCCACAACAGGCCGAGCCCAGCCUUCCUCGGGGCUUGCCUCCAGGCCUGACUUUUUUACUCCCCUAAGUGAGGCAGCCAUGACUGGCCACUUCAUGUGCUCCUGGAGAAGGCUUGCACCAGCCGUUUUCAGGAAAGUCAAGCAGCUGUUGACUCCUGAGUCUGGGUGAAUUUGUGUGAAGAGCAUAAGGCGCUGUUUCUUAACCAAAACGCUUCCUCUUGCAGUGCAGAUGGGAUGUGCUUCUCCACAGGACGCCCCACGGCUUCCCCACCCCUCAGAGGAGCGCCCGGUGCCUGCGUCUGUAUGGAGGAUUGGCAGCUCCUGCAGUCGGCCCUUGGUCCUAUUUGGCGAAGCCUCUGCCUUCCCCUUAAUUACACAGUCAUGAGCCGCCCUGGAAUCACGGCAGCUCCGGAUGGAUCCUGGAUGCCAGAAUGCAGCCUCAGCACGGGGCUGUAGGACAGGAGUGAGCGAGGGGCUGCAGAGCCGGCGGCCGCGGUGGGCACCACGGAGGGGGCUGCCCUGGGCAGCAUGGGCAUGAGUCUCAAGGCCCAGGUUUGAGUAACAGGUGUUGGGAGCUUACUUACUUUUCCUGAGACACAGUUUCCUCAUCUCGAGAGCACGGAAAAUCAUUCCAACUUCAGAGGAUUGUUGUGAAAGUUAAAUGAGAUUAAAGAGGUAAAGCCCAUAACGUGCUUAGCUCGUGCUUGGCUCUUGGUCAAUGCCAGUUAGCACUGCAUUUUCUCCCCUCUCCCUCCCUCCUUCUCUCUUUCUUUUCUUCUAUUCUCCAUUCCUGUUUUCUCCCCCACCCCGCUCCCCAAAGCUCUGCGUUGAGAACCAGAUGCUGUCUGGUGGGUUAGGGCCAGAGGAGGAAAAGCUGCCCGCCGUGGGCUGCACCCAUACCCUCUUCAUUCCAAUGACAUGAGGGGAGGGGAAAGGACAGAGGUAGACUGUCCUCCCCUACCUCUUCCUAAUACAAAUGGAAUUCCUGGAACUGGAAAACAAAGAAUACCCCCAUAAAAAUAAGACAGUACUUCUGGUGGGGUGUAAUAAAGGGGAAAGUAACCCUCAAUGUCAGGAAACUCUGCACCUCCCAGCUCAUAUUUGUGUGGAGGAAAAGUUAAAUAUUAAUUUGGACUCAACUGAAUGUGGACACAAACAAUGG
rnacentral:lncRNA from 1 species